rnacentral:misc_RNA from 1 species
AAUUGACGCGCGCCGUGUGAUAUUUAGAAAACGUUUAGUUUUUAAAUAACUGCUGACACAUAUAUUGUAUAUAUGUCAACUAGAUGCAGUUAAUAACUAUACAGGAGUGUAGAUUUUAGUCAUAUUACAAACGAUACAACGUUUAUUUAUUGUGCACUAUUUUUGUGUGCGGCAGAAUAUGCAAAGUGAAAAGCUGUAAUAGGUACAGACUUCACUUGAAUUUGUUGACAGCGCGUGGAUUUCGACAGCUUCGCUACUUGCUUUUUUCAGUUCUUGACCGACCUUUACCAACAACAAUGACUGAAACAACAUCAAAAGAUCAGCAACUUGCUGAAUUACAGAAUGAAAGAGAUCAGUUGAUGAGCGCAGGCCACCAACUUGCUGUUCAGUUAAUUGACGAUGAAAUUAAAAAGGUACAAGACACUGAAGGGGAUGAGAUUAUUAAAAGCCCAAAAGGUUUUAAAUUUAUUGAUCUUACACAUGACAAACCCAUCAGAGUCUCUGAGAGAGUUAUUGUGCCAGUAAAGGACCAUCCAAAAUUUAACUUCAUUGGCAAAAUUCUUGGUCCACGUGGCAAUUCCUUGAAAAGAAUGCAGACAGAAACUGGUACAAAAAUAUCCAUUCUUGGGAAAGGAUCUAUGAGAGAUAAAAAAAGGGAAGAUGACCUGAGAGCUGGUGGCGAAGCUAAAUUUAGCCAUUUGAGUGAAGAGUUGCACAUUCUUGUUGAAGCAUAUUCAUUACCACCUGAUGCUCAUACUAGAGUUGGACAUGCCUUAAGAGAGCUACGAAAAUACUUAAUACCUGAUAACAAUGAUGACAUCAGACAGGAUCAGUUGAGAGAACUUGCAGUUAUAAAUGGCACGCUUGAUGCUCCCCCUUCGGGACGUGGUGGUCGUGGAGGGCCAAUGAGAGGCAGGGGUGGACCAGGUGGUUCUGGACGUGGCGGCUCUGGAUUUAGAGGAGGGAUGUCGUCCGGGCCAAGAGGGCCAGCACCUGCUGGGGGCAGAGGUGGUUUUGGUAGCAGUGCACGUGGUGGAUCAAUGUUUGGCAGUCCGGGUGCUGGAAGGCCGAGUAAGCCAGAUUCAUUUGGAUUUGAGGAGCCGUACGAACAGAGCUACGACCAGUUUUUUGAUUCUUCUUCAUCAUAUAUGGACAAUUCAGGUGCAAGUGGUGGCGAUGAUGGUUACUAUGACUCCAGCUACCCAAGUGGGGGUGGUGGUAAUGAUUUUGGGCAAAGCUAUGGUGGUGAUCAAAGCUGGAGUAGUGGUGGUGCCCGCUUCAAAUCUCCACCAAUCAAACCUGGUCCAAGAACCCAUCCAUAUUCACGAUUUUAAACCAAGUGUCCGACUAAAAGGGUAACUGACACAUCUGACUGAAAUGCAUAGAGCUUGUGAAGUUAUAGAAUUAAGAGAUUCUGAAGAGAAAUGAUCAUCGAUACGAUUCACAAACUAGGAAAUGUAUGCAGUUAUUGUCACUAAUGCAUUUCCUUAACUCUUCACAAUGUCUCUCGUAAAUAUUCACAAAAUACUGGUGUUAAAUGGAGUGUUAUCUGCUUUGAAGA